GACGAACGCUGGCGGCGUGCCUAACACAUGCAAGUCGAACGGCAAGGCACUGCGUUUGUGCGGUGCUCGAGUGGCGAACGGGUGAGUAACACGUGAGUAACCUGCCCUUGACUUUGGGAUAACUUCAGGAAACUGGGGCUACGACCGGAUAGGAGACCCUGCUCCAUGGUGGGGGUUGGAACGUUUCGGCGGUCGGGGCUGGACUCGCGGCUUACCAGCUUGUUGGUGGGGUAGUGGCUUACCAAGGCUGUGACGGGUAGGCGACCUGAGAGGGGGGCCGGCCACAUUGGGACUGCGAGACGGAGCAGACUGCAACGGGGGGCAGCGGUGGGAAGUAUGACCCAGUGAGCGGGAGCGUGAGAAAGCAGCGCCGGGUUCGGGAUGACGGCCUUCGGGUUAUAAACCGCUUUAGCCUGAGACGAAGCGGGAGUGACGGUACCGAGUAAAGAAGCACCGGCUAACUACGUG
rnacentral:rRNA from 1 species